UUUAAGUGUAACCAUGAGUUUCCGUAUCCAACUUUUGAUCGUCCGUCUUAUUUAAAACUUUUUUGUAAUUAGUAUUUUUGUUGUUAUUAGAUGAUAAAAUAUGAAUAGUUAUUUAUGCGUGACUUAUGUUUUAAAUUUUUUUUAAAAAAACUUUUAAAUAAGACGAACGAUCAAAAUUAGACACGAAAAAUUAUAACUGCACUUACA
rfam:Oryza sativa Japonica Group DNA, chromosome 2, cultivar: Nipponbare, complete sequence.